rnacentral:rRNA from 1 species
GACGAACGCUGGCGGCGUGCCUAAUACAUGCAAGUAGAACGCUGAAGAGAGGAGCUUGCUCUUCUUGGAUGAGUUGCGAACGGGUGAGUAACGCGUAGGUAACCUGCCUUGUAGCGGGGGAUAACUAUUGGAAACGAUAGCUAAUACCGCAUAACAAUGGAUGACACAUGUCAUUUAUUUGAAAGGGGCAAUUGCUCCACUACAAGAUGGACCUGCGUUGUAUUAGCUAGUAGGUGAGGUAACGGCUCACCUAGGCGACGAUACAUAGCCGACCUGAGAGGGUGAUCGGCCACACUGGGACUGAAACACGGCCCAGACUCCUACGGGAGGCAGCAGUAGGGAAUCUUCGGCAAUGGGGGCAACCCUGACCGAGCAACGCCGCGUGAGUGAAGAAGGUUUUCGGAUCGUAAAGCUCUGUUGUAAGUCAAGAACGAGUGUGAGAGUGGAAAGUUCACACUGUGACGGUAGCUUACCAGAAAGGGACGGCUAACUACGUG